rnacentral:rRNA from 1 species
AACGAACGCUGGCGGCAUGCCUAACACAUGCAAGUCGAACGAGACCUUCGGGUCUAGUGGCGCACGGGUGCGUAACGCGUGGGAACCUGCCCUUAGGUUCGGAAUAACUCCCCGAAAGGGGUGCUAAUACCGGAUAAUGUCUUCGGACCAAAGAUUUAUCGCCUUUGGAUGGGCCCGCGUUGGAUUAGCUAGUUGGUAGGGUAAAAGCCUACCAAGGCGACGAUCCAUAGCUGGUCUGAGAGGAUGAUCAGCCACACUGGGACUGAGACACGGCCCAGACUCCUACGGGAGGCAGCAGUGGGGAAUAUUGGACAGUGGGCGAAGGCCUGAUCCAGCAAUGCCGCGUGAGUGAUGAAGGCCUUAGGGUUGUAAAGCUCUUUUACCCGGGAUGAUAAUGACAGUACCGGGAGAAUAAGCUCCGGCUAACUCCGUG